rnacentral:rRNA from 1 species
GACGAACCGAGCGAACGUUGUUCGGAAUCACUGGGCUUAAAGGGCGCGUAGGCGGGCUGUCAAGUCUGGGGUGAAAUCCCGCGGCUCAACCGUGGAACUGCCUCAGAUACUGACGGUCUCGAGGGAGGUAGGGGCGAGCGGAACUGAUGGUGGAGCGGUGAAAUGCGUUGAUAUCAUCAGGAACUCCGGUGGCGAAGGCGGCUCGCUGGACCUCUUCUGACGCUGAGGCGCGAAAGCGUGGGGGAGCCG